rnacentral:misc_RNA from 1 species
GAAACGCGAUAGGUAUUGUGAAUUGCAGAAUUUCGUGAAUCAUCGAAUCUUUGAACGCAUAUUGCGCCUUCCGGUAUUCCGGGAGGCAUGCCUGUUUGAGCGUCAGUUUACACUCACAAGUGUUAACUUGUGUUAACAUUCUGUGGUAUUGAGUAAAAGAGGGGCUUGAUUAAUGCAUGAUCCUGAGUCUCUGACUUUAAAUAGAUGGGCCGACUUCCUCGUUCCUGAUUUAGUGUGAUAGGUAAACUCCAACUCACGAACAUCGGUUGAGCUUGAGGAAACGAUGCCAAAUUUUAUUUGCUUUCAUUAAGUAAACUUGAAUCUUUUGACCUCAAAUCAGGUAGGGAUACCCGCUGAACUUAA